rnacentral:ncRNA from 1 species
CAGCGACUCCACUUUCUCGCGUCGACUCAUUCAAAAAAGGAGGAUAUUUUCCCUCGGCUCGGGGUGCGGCAGUGUGGAGACCUGUCGUAAUGCAGCGCACCGGAUGGUGACUGCGAGGACGUUUCGGGCGGAUGUCAAACGUCCUGAGCCAAAGCUUAUGUC